GCGCGUCGAUGUGACUGCAGGACACAUGAACACCGACAAGUUGAACGCAUAUUGCACAUCGUACAACAGUACGAUGUACACAUUUUUGAGUGCCUAU
rnacentral:rRNA from 1 species